rnacentral:lncRNA from 1 species
CACGCCCGUGCUUCACUGUUGUGAUGUUUAGUUUAUCUAUUGAUGUUCCCCGAACCUACUGUUAUGGUUUCAAUUUUUGUUUAGCUAGCUGUUGUUUAAAGGUUUGUUUCAUUAAGCUGUGUUAUCUUAAUUUUUGAACUUUACAAAAAAUUAACAGUAGUAUCUAGUAGGUUCCACAAAAAUCAAUCUAAACAGACUCGGUUGUUCAAUAGUGUCAGGACGACUUGGUCAAACUUGGUCAAUAGUGGGCUAGGCACCACUUAUGCACAGUGUUGUAAAAGUCGCUAGGCGGUCCCUAGUCGGCUGACUGGGGAGUUGGGAGUAAUCGGAAUACUCGGAGAGUACUCGGGGAGUACGCGGACAUUGUAAAUAUAAAUAAAAUUAAUUGUUUUAUAUUAUUUAUGUGUUAAAAUAAGCAUAAUUCAUGUCAACUGAGUAUAAUUUAAAAUGAAACAUGUUUAAAGUUCAAAUAUUCUGAAUACAAGUCCGACUAGUCUGAGUACAAGGCCGAGUAGUCCGAGUACAAGGCCGAGUAGGCCGAUUUUGACCGAGUUUGACCGAGUUUGACCGAUUAAAAGUCAACAAACCACGUUGACCGCCUAGACCGACUAGGCCGACUAGGCUCCUACUAGGCCGACUAGGCGCCGACUAGGACCGAGUACUCCCGAGGCCGACUAGUUGAGACCGCCUAGGAGGAAGUCGCCAAGGUGGAGGUCCGAGGACCGAGUACUCGCCGAGUACUCGGCCGAGGAAUCCGACUUUUGCAACACUGCUUAUGCAUGGUCGUGCUUAGAGGUUACACUUGGUCAAAACUGUCACUUUCCCGCGCAAUUGGUCACAAUUGUUUUCAAUUUUUCUUGACUCGUUAUGUUUACACUAGUACCCUAAUUACUUCCACCUAAGUUUUAGCUUGAAAUCAUGGUGAUGUAUGGUUGAAAUUAAAGGUUUUAGUAUGAACCGGGUUUGAACUAAAACAUAAGAAAUCUGACAUGUUUAGCCACUAAUCAUAAGCACAAAGUGUUAAAGAUAAGUAACACAUACCUGGAAAUGAAGGUUCUUAAAGAAAAUCAGAGGAAUUUGGUGGUUUGAAGUGGUAGUGGAUGGGUUUCAUCAUAGAGCACGGGGACAUCUGAAGGUGGGUUCUGUUUUGUGACCUAUGUCACUGCAGCUUAAACACCCUGCUUCUGGGAUGUGGGUCGGACACAGGCAUGCCUUUGAGAUUUUCAAAACUGGUUUUUAAGUUUCAACUUUAUUUUAAGAAAACUAAUAUUUUAUUUGUUUGUAUCUAGGCACGGGCGUGCUCAUCUGGCAGUUUUUUGAAAAUUUUAACUUUGUCGAGUUUUGAAAGUUCGUUCCACCACUUAUUCGAUCUACAUGUCUAGGAAACUUACCUUUCAGAUUUCAACACAUGGAAACUUUUUGUAUGUGUUGAAGAAAAAACUGAUCAUUCUGAAGAUGACAAAGUCAACGGGUCUCUAAGAAGGAAGAUAUAAGACAAUAGAACGAAACAAAGAAAAGCUUCAUGUUCAACAAAGAUCAGAAAAUAUUCAUAAUCAAGAAAGGAUGAUCAAAAACGACCAAUUGAAUGUUUCUGAUGAUAAAUAUAUUAUUUAUCAUCAGAGUCCGAGUCUGGUAAAGUCUGAUCAUAUUUCUGAUGAUCAAGAAGCAUCAGAUUUAUGAUAAGGAGUUGGUCGGAAUUCUGAUGAAGCAACUUGAUAAAGAGAUAAGGUCUUUCACGAACUCCUAAGUGACUAGUGGACAUGAACGGAUUCAAUGAAUAUACCAAAAAGCCACUUUUCAUAACCAAGUGUAUGAAUAAAUAAAUGUUUAUUCAUACAUUACAUUCUCUAUAAAUAAAGAACAUAAAACCGAAGGGAAAAUGUCACAUACUACAAAACUCCACUGCCCUUCAUCACAUAUUUCUUUUGAGUAUUCGUUUGUAGUAGUCAAUAAUCUCACAAUCACCCUGUAAGCUUUUCAAAGUGAUAUAAACUUAAAAAAAUCUAUUUUUUUGUUUCUUUAAAAUUUUAUUUCUAUUUCCACACAUUAUUUUCAUACUUGUUGAAAUCACUUGCCAACUUUAGUUAAAGCAUUGUUAUCAGGGAUCAACAAUUGGUAUCGGAGCAGUUUGAAUAACCUAUUUUCAAAACGAUCAACUUCUCAAGUAUCAUUUUUUGGAUACUUUGUUUUUCAAAAACUUCACUUUUAACUAAAAUGGCAAACUUUCAAACAUGGAACAAUGCGUUCAAGAUCGGGUCUUUAUCAAAGCCUCCGACCUUGGUUAGAGAGGAGUACCCCCACUAGAGAAUCAAGAUGAUCAAUUUCCUUAAUGGAUAUGAUCACGUUGUGCUUCAAUCCAUUGAGAAAGGCCCACAUAUUCCCCGUGUUGAAAUCACAGCUCCGAUCAAACACCAGCAAUACAUGUCUCAUUGUAAGACCCCAAAAAUAUAAAACUUUAUGUUAGAAUUAUAAAGUAUAAAAUAAACAAGAAUAAACUAAUUAGGGAUGGAAAUAACCUAGUUAGUUAACUAUCUUGUAAUAACAUGGAGUUUGAAUAAAAACAUCUAAAUUAAAGAAGCACUAAUAGUUAAGGAGCCAAAAUUGUUAAAAAUCAAACUAGAUUU